rnacentral:RNase_P_RNA from 2 species
AGUAUGCCGGGUGAUCGCGCACGAGAGAAACGUGUGAGGAAAGUCCGAGCAUCGCAGGGCAAGGGUGCCGGAUAACGUCCGGCGGAGGCGACUCCAGGGAUAGUGCAACAGAGAGAUACCGCGAAGGCGCGCCAUGCGCGCCCGCAAGGAUGGAAAGGCGAGGUAAGAGCUCACCAGCGGCUUGGCGACUUGCCGGCUAUGUAAACCCCACCCGAUGCAAGAUUGAUUGUGGAACACAUGUGGCGGCCCGUCACGUUCCCGGGUAAUCGCUGGAGCUGUCCGGCAACGGGCAGACUAGAUAGAUGGUCACCCAAGACAGAACUCGGCUUACAGACAUGCUCAU